rnacentral:rRNA from 1 species
GAUGAACGCUGGCGGCGUGCCUCAUACAUGCAAGUCGAGCGAAGCGGGGAAGGGUGAGUAACACGUGGAUAAACUCCUAUAAGACUGGGAUAACUUCGGGAAACCGGGGCUAAACCGGAUACUUAAAGAUGGAUCCGCGCUGCAUUAGCUAGUUGGUAAGGUAACGGGUGACCAAGGCAACGAUGCAUAGCCUACCUGAGAGGGGGAUCGGCCACACUGGAACUGAGACACGGUCCAGACUCCUACGGGAGGCAGCAGUAGGGAAUCUUCCGCAAUGGACGAAAGUCUGACGGAGCAACGCCGCGUUAGUGAUGACGGCCUUCGGGUUGUAAAGCUCUGUUAAUCGGGACGCGGUACCGGAAUAGAAAGCCACGGCUAACUACGUGCCAGCAGCCGCGGUAAUAC